rnacentral:rRNA from 1 species
AUACGUAGGGGGCGAGCGUUGUCCGGAAUGAUUGGGCGUAAAGGGCGCGUAGGCGGCCUGUUAAGUCUGGUGUGAAAGUCCUGUUUUCAAGAUGGGAAUUGCUUUGGAUACUGAUGGGCUUGAGUGCAGGAGAGGUUAUCGGAAUUCCCGGUGUAGCGGUGAAAUGCGUAGAGAUCGGGAGGAACACCAGUGGCGAAGGCGGGUAACUGGACUGCAACUGACGCUGAGGCGCGAAAGUGUGGGGAGCAAACAGGAUUAGAUACCCUGGUAGUCCACACGGUAAACGAUGAAUGCUAGGUGUAAGAGGUAUCGACCCCUUUUGUGCCGGAGUUAACACAAUAAGCAUUCCGCCUGGGGAGUACGGCCGCAAGGUUGAAACUCAAAGGAAUUGACGGGG